UACGUAGGGGGCAAGCGUUGUCCGGAUUUAUUGGGCGUAAAGAGCGUGUAGGCGGCUAGAUAGGUCCGUUGUGAAAACUCGAGGCUCAACCUCGAGACGUCGAUGGAAACCAUCUGGCUAGAGUCCGGAAGAGGAGAGUGGAAUUCCUGGUGUAGAGGUGAAAUUCGUAGAUAUCAGGAGGAACACCAGUGGCGAAGGGCGGCUUUCGUGGAU
rnacentral:rRNA from 1 species